rnacentral:rRNA from 1 species
UGCCAGCAGCCGCGGUAAUACGGAGGGUGCAAACGUUGCUCGGAAUCAUUGGGCGUAAAGCGCGUGUAGGCGGUCAUUUAAGUCAAGUGUGAAAUCCCUGAGCUUAACUCAGGAACUGCGCUUGAUACUGGAUGACUAGAAUACAGGAGAGGAUAGCGGAAUUCCCGGUGUAGAGGUGAAAUUCGUAGAUAUCGGGAGGAACACCAGUGGCGAAGGCGGCUAUCUGGACUGAUAUUGACGCUGAGACGCGAAAGCGUGGGGAGCAAACAGGAUUAGAUA